GGUGAUGUAGCUCAGUGGUAGAGCACUUGCCUAGCAUGCGUGAGGUCCUGGGCUCCAUCCCAAGUACCACCA
rnacentral:tRNA from 1 species